UACGUAGGGUGCAAGCGUUGUCCGGAAUUAUUGGGCGUAAAGAGCUCGUAGGCGGUUUGUCGAGUCUGCUGUGAAAACUCGGGGCUUAACUCCGGGCCUGCAGUGGGUACGGGCAGACUAGAGUGCGGUAGGGGAGACUGGAAUUCCUGGUGUAGCGGUGAAAUGCGCAGAUAUCAGGAGGAACACCGAUGGCGAAGGCAGGUCUCUGGGCAUUAACUGACGCUGAGGAGCGAAAGCAUGGGGAGCGAACAGG
rnacentral:rRNA from 1 species